rnacentral:snRNA from 1 species
GGAUGUGAGGGCGAUCUGGCUGCGAAUCUGUCACCCCAUUGAUCGCCAGGGUUGAUUCGGCUGAUCUAGCUGGCUAGGUGGAUGUCCCCUUCCUCCCUCACCGCUCCAUAUGCAUCCAGUCCCUCCCAAAGCUGUGAGCUCUGUUGAAGAGGAUGGACCAGUCUUCGGUCAAGGGUAUGAGUAGCUGUGCUUCCCUGCUAGAACCUCCAAACAAGCUCUCAAGAGUACCUAUGGAAAGUAUAAGUUGAAGUAUGUUUUAGUAACUUUUAGCUCUUUUCUGAGAAUGGAAGAU